rnacentral:rRNA from 1 species
AACGAACGCUGGCGGCGCGCCUAAUACAUGCAAGUCGAGCGAGAAGGUGUAGCAAUACACUUGUAAAGCGGCGAACGGGUGAGGAAUGCAUGGGUAACCUACCCUCGAGUGGGGAAUAACUAGCCGAAAGGUUAGCUAAUACCGCAUACGUUUCCGGAACUUCGGUUUCGGAAAGAAAGCAAUACCGUGGGUAUUGCGCUCCUGGAUGGGCUCAUGUCCUAUCAGCUUGUUGGUGAGGUAACGGCUCACCAAGGCUUCGACGGGUAGCUGGUCUGAGAGGACGAUCAGCCACACUGGCACUGCGACACGGGCCAGACUCCUACGGGAGGCAGCAGUAAGGAAUAUUGCGCAAUGGACGAAAGUCUGACGCAGCGACGCCGCGUGGGGGGAUGAAGGUCUUCGGAUUGUAAACCCCUUUCGGGAGGGAAGAUGGAGUGGGUAACCACUUGGACGGUACCUCCAGAAGCAGCCACGGCUAACUUCGUGCCAGCAGCCGCGGU